ACUGCGCUGCUGUGUUGAACUUUUGUCCUCUCAGUAAAGCUGUAUCAGCCACAUAGGCUAAUGGGCAUUGGCUUAACUUAACGCCUGUAAUCAGACUUACCUUAUAGACCCAACCUACACAACCCGAAUCCUCUUUACUGUUUAUUCAGGGUUUUUUGUUAAACGUCAAUAAGAUGACUCGUGUGGGUGAAAGUUCACUUUUGCAGCUCUGAUGUCCCUCGGCGGCUUCCUUCAUUUUUCUCUUUGUUGUUAUUGGGGAAAUACUGUACGUUCAGGAGAAUUAAAAGCCCUUUCAUCGCUGAAAUGAAGCUCCAUCUGUCUGGAAUCUGGCAUUAAACGGACCUGCAGGCUAAAACAUCUGACAGCUAGUUUCACUUUCUGUUAAACAGCGAUAUCAGUGGGACACACUUAACACGGAAAUACCUCUCCAGAUCAAAGGAAAAGAUCCGUUUAAUCUUCUACAGGUGAUCAAUAGAGAAGAACCAGGUUUCUCCUCCUUCCUUUAUUUCUCCCCCUUGUCCCCAAAUUGGCCUUUUAAUCCCUCUCCGUGUGUCGGACUGACAUCAGGCCACUCUGCUCUGAUGUCUUCAAGCUGACGUGUGAAUCAAGAGGUUCCCCCAGCUCCUUCACCGGCCUUUGACCCCAUGUUGCCCCUUCCCUGACACUGGCUAAAGAGAAGUCGGCGCCACGCCUCACUGAGUCCAUCUGAUGCGUGUGGAAACAAAUUCUUAAAAGCAGCGUGAAUAUGAGAGGAAGCCUGCCUGUCUGUCUGCUGAGGAGCCCCUCUGCUAAACAUUUCAGCAACCAAGGAGUCUCUCCCUCUCCUACCCAAUUACUCCAGAACAUUAAAGCCCACCUCCGUCACAUUAAAGCUGAAAGGCAGGGAGGAGAAGGAGGAGGUGGUGGAGGAGGGUGAAGGAGGGAUGGGUUUUUUUUAAUAGGAAACUGCACAAGAGAUUUUGGAUUAUUCCUUUAAGUAAGAACACACAAAUCUUAGAUUUUUCAACAGAGAGAAUGAGUGUGGUUUGGGUGUAGCAGCCAGCAUGACGGGAUGAUGUUGCUGUGUUUUUAUGCAGGCGGGUGGAUGGGCGGAGUUUGGGAUGGUUAAGGGAAAAAAAGGGUGGGGGUAGGGAGAGAGGAGAAUCUGUCAGCCGAAUGAGAAGAUGAAGAUUUGACAGAGAGGCGACAGAGAGUUCAGCUCAUACGAGGCCUGUCGAUUAGUGCGUUUGUGGCUGACAGGUGGAAUCCCAGGGGCGCAUCUGUCACUGCGUCUGCUGCCAGGCCCGGCCGCUACACCACCACCACCAACACCACCAGCAGCAGCACAGAAGACUCCAUGAUAGGCGGGGAUAUGCUGCAGACUCAGAGGCAGCUGAUUGGCCCAGUGCAGUAGCCCUGGCCUCCCCGUCCGAGCUCAGAUUAAAGCUUUAUUGUACCCAGAAAGCAGGGCGAAAGUCAUGUUAAUCCUCCUCUAAUACAUCACUGUCAGUGAUCUGAUUUUACAACACAAUCGAAACACGCUUCCUGGAAACAGCAUUAAUCUGACAUCUGAAAUAGUAUUUUUUGUUUGUUUGUCGCAGUGGUGUUUUUGACUCUGAAAAGCACAGAGGGCCUCUUCUGUUGCUAUGAUCCAUUAAGAUGCAAAUCUUCCUUUAUGAAAAGUUUUUUUUGUAUUAUUUGAAUGAAAAGGCAACUGGGCCAAAAGGAAAAAUCAUACUGGGAGUGAAUGAAAUCAUGCCAGCAAUUAAAUCAGACACUAUGGUGAAGUCAGAGGAGACCAGAGAUAAAAGUAGGCCACAGUGAUUUCUCUGAGGAUGUUUUUAAUAUCAGAUUAUCUAAUGAAAUUAGUCCCAGGCUCUGAAUACAGGAACACAUGGUCAGAGUUGGGUUUGGUGAAAAAAAGGCAGUCUUAAAAAUUGGCUUGAUAGUUAGUGCUGUGUAACAUUUAUAUUUUUUUUAUUAGAUUUAAAGUCCAGGAUAAUUGAUACACUGUCAGUUUUAUUUACAAUUCAUAUCAGUUUUACAUCAGAAAGAAACAAAAAAAAACUUUAAAGGAACCUGCACAUGUACCAGAUACAUUAAACUGUAGGACAAUAAACAAGAACUAUGACAGUAUUCUACAUGCUUUUAUAAAAUCUCAACCCCUUAAGAGUUGGGAAGCUGUGUAUAAUGUUGAUUGUCAUAAACAGUUUGAUUAAAAGAGAUCCUAAUGCUUUAAAAAAAACCUUUAAAGCCUAUAUUUAAUUGAAAAUUGUGCAAAGACAACAUAUCAAAUGUUGAAAGUAAGAAAAUGUAUUGUUUUAUGAAAAAAGAUAAGAAUAGUUUGGUUCCAACAACAUUUUUCUAAGGAUUGGGGCAUGGACUGCAAAACACUGAAAAACUUAUAUAGUGCUAAAAAUAAAAAUGAAAAUCUGGAAAAAACAUCUCCUUACUGAUAACAUUAAUUUGCAACAGGUUAGUAACAUGACUGGAAAAGACGGUAUAGAGAGGCGGAGUCUCAGGAGUAAAGAUGGGAAGAGGUUCACCACUCAGUGGGAGACUGAGCAAAUAGUUCAACAAUUAUAGAAUAAUGUUCCUCAGAGUUAAACCUCUAAAGACUUUGUGGAUUUCAUCAUCUAAAGUGCAUAAUAUCAUAAAAUAUUCAGAGACAUCUUUGUACAAAAGAGUUGAGGCCAAACACCAAUACUGGAUGGCUGUGAUCUUCAGACUCUCAGGCGGCACUUUGUCAGAAACAGACAUGACUCUGUCGUGGAACUCACUGCAUUGGCUGAAAAUCACUUUCAAAAGCCUAAGUCUGUGAACACAGUUUGUCCCUGCAUCAAAAAUGAAGAUUAAAACUGAACCAUGAAAAGAGGAAAACAUUUUUAAACAUGAUCCAAAAACACUAGUGACUCCUCUGGGCCCAAGGCCGUUGAAGAUUGACUGAGGCGAAGUGGAAAACUGUCCAGUGGUCUGAAAAAUCCAAAUUUGACAUUCCUUUUGGAAAUCAUGGAGGCUUCAUCCUUCACUCUGGAGAGGGAAGGGACCGCCCAGCUUGUCGUCAGGGUACAGGCAUCAUGAAAUGAUACAUGACAAAAAGUCCCUCAAACGAUUGAGCAGCUAUAUCAAGAAUGGGACAACAUUUCACUUUCUAAACUCCAGAAACUGGUCUCUGGUCUCGAGUGUUGUUAAAAGAAGAGGUGAUGCAACACAAUGCUAAACAUACAGAUGUAACUGUACAGUGAUUAGAAUGUACUCAACUAUUUCACAGGAUAUUUCAUGCCAGAUGUCUUUGAUUAAAUUGGUUCACUUGGUUGCUUCAAAACUCUUCUAACACUUUAAUGUGUUUGAAAGGAUGGAAAAGUGUGACCUACUGCAUGUCACAUCAGGCUCCAGGAAGUAUUAUAAACAAUUAUAGAUUAUUCAUGGUUUAUAGAUUAAAUAAAAAAACGGUAUCACAAAAAGAAGGAAUACAUCUCCAUCAACCUGUAGAAGGGGAAAUAUUUGUCUAAAAGAUUUUAUCACUGAUGUUUUUCAGUGUAAUAGACAUUAGGGAAAGCUGCUUUCCUUGCAGUGUCCUUAAUUCCUGCAUCUACUUCUGAAUAUCCAAGGUCAGUUUAGCUGUUGUUACAAAAGUUCCAAGAAUAUCGGUUGUACUGCAUUUUUUAUAUAUUUAACACCAUUU